GAUUAUUACGUGAGGAGAAUGCGUUAUAAGUUAAAUGCUUAUUAGAGAUAAUGCAAGUGGUUUAAUUUAAUUGAAGUUCAUUUUAAGAUUGUAGGUUAAGAGAAUUAUAAUUUAAAAUAAAAAUUUUUUGUCGUAAAUAGGAAUUAUUUUCAAGUGAAGUUUGUUUUGUUGUCGUGCGCGUAGGAGACGAGACGUACGAAUUAAAUCAGUCGAGGGAAGGAUAAACGUUAGAAAGGAAUUAAAGAGAAAACGAGAGUUUAUGUAAAAGAGAGUUAUAGAAUUUAUAGUGAUGUUUUGUUUUAAUUAGAAAAAUGUUGAGAGUUGUUUCAGAACGACACGUCAGUGGACGUGGCAGAGUGAACACGUGACGGGGAGGUGCUGAGACCUAGCGGAGAACGGAGGAACCGCAAGCGAGGGUUGGCGCACCUGAUGGAAUUCGGUGACGUCACGGGCUCAUACGGAGACGUGGACAGGCCGUGACCUUGUUUUGAUCAGCUGUACGGUAACUUAGCGAUAAGAAAAUAGACUAUUGGUUAAAUAAAUUUAAAUUUAAGUGUGUUUUAGAAGAAGAGGAACUUUCAGUAUAUUCCUUAAGAUGAGCUGAGCAGCAGUCCAGUUUACAAGAUGACAAGAGUUCGAGAGACAAGAUACAAGAUCACUGAAACAAGAGCCAAGACUGAAGAUUCAAGAGAAGAGAAAGCUGGCAGCCAUGGACUUACAAGUGGAGAUUAAUAAGGUCAUGUAAAGUUUUAUUUUUUUUUAUGGAAGACAGUAACUGGAGUUUUUUUUUUGUUAUAAACAUUAUUUACAGAACUUUUUAGGUUAUAGUAAUGUAAUGGAACUAGUGAGUUGUGGUAGCUGUCAAAAAGAACUAAUACCUUAAGUUUAAUUUUUAAAGUUAAUUUUCUUAAUUUACAGAGGGAUUAGUAGUUUUUUUUAAACCUUAUUUAGGUUGGAAUUUAAAGAUAAUAGUUUAUUAUAAAUGUGUACGAACAGUUCAAGUUCACAGUACUGAUAGGUAGGUCAGAUGAUCUUAUUGAUUUUGAUGAUUUGUUGUUUUGAGUUGAUUUUUAAGUGUUGUGAAUUAGACAAUGAAAUAGUUCUGAAAACUUAAAUUAUUUCAAGCUAAGAAAUAGUAAAGUUAAUUGUAACUCAAAGGACACCAGAAUUUAAUUUUUUUUUGAAUUAGUAAUGUUUGAAAAUUUUAUACUUUACAAGAAAGGUUAUAAACAAACAGAUCGGAUGGAACAAGGAUGCAGUAAAUCACAAUUUCAUUUAGAAUUAUUGAUUUGCUUUUGAGGUUAUGAAGGAAAAGUAGCUAUAAUUUAAAAAUUUGAAUAAAAAUGGUUUUUUUUUAUUUGUUUGAAAUAGAAAGUUUAAAAGUUAAUUAGUCAUGAUCUAGGUGGGUGAUGGGGUGGGAAUUGGCCACUCUUUUUCCCUAUAACCUCCCUAACAUGGCCUUCUAUUACAACUAACAGAAAUAAAGAAGAAGAAAAAUGAAGAAUUAUUAGUUAGAAUGUUUCUUUCAUGAAGAUACCUGAUGAACUUUUACUGUUUGGAAGAAUAGAAGCAAGGUUAGUCAGAUAUUUUUACUCAGAAGAAGAAGAAGAUAAAGCAGUUUUAUGACUCGACAAGCCAGAGAUUGGUGUUUCCCCUCUGCGCUCCUAUUGACUACGUUGUUUACUCUCAUGGGAUAGCUGGUUCGGCACCAUGGAGAGAGAUUGGUGGGCAUUGUGGUUGCCCCCAGAAGAAAAGAAGAGUAGAAGAGGUUAUGGGUGGGUCAUGUGAACUGACCUUCAACCCAGUUACUUCGUGGGGACUAUUUGCUGUAUAGAGAAGAUCAAGACUCAAGAGGUAGGGAAAAUCAUUGGAGGUCAUGUUUCCCUUCCUUAAGUUUUUCCUAUCAAAUUAUUUGCCUGAUUAGAUUAUGCUAAGGGUGGGAUACUUUAUGUUAGCAGUUGAAUUAAUUAAUUUUAUUUUUUUGUGUGUUUGCAUCCUUGCCCAUCGAUUGCAGUUUAGUAGUUAGUUUUGUAUUUGUCAGGCGUGAUGGUAAUGCCUGUUGAUGAUGUUUCAGAAUUGUAAUCUGUUCGUGAUGAGGAUGGCACAACUCCGAAGCAGAUGUGGGGAGAAGUUGUGAGCUGCCCUGGAAGCCAGUCCAGUAGCUGUUGGAGUUGAGUGGUGUUUGCUGAUGGCCAGCCCAGGGAGCUACUCUUCUCGACAACACUGACUUCGAGGAGUUGCACCAACCUUCACGAGAUAAGAGUUUAAUUAAUUGAAACACUGUAAGGACACUUAAUUUUUUUUGAAGAACGAAAGAAGUAUGGUAAUAAACGGAAACCGAAAAAAAAAAAAUAAUAAUAAUUAUCAAGAAUUUGCACAUUGUUUAACGAAUACUGAGAAACUAAGAACAGUAAUUUAAUUUGUAAAGAGAGCUUCACUAACAGAACAAUUUUUUUUGAAUUGAGAACUCGAGCCUCUGAAGGUUCCUGUGAGAACAAACCAGAUAAAAGUUUUACAUUUAAUUUUAUGAAUACUUGUUGUUUUAAAAUAAAUCUUAUGCAGAAUCUAGAUGUAUGUUCAGACAGCAAGGAACUAAGAAAAUUAUUAUUUUUGUGAAAUGAGGAAUUUAUAGUUAUGGUUUAAUGGAAAAAGACAAUUUGUAAUUUUGAGGUAGCUCGAUGGGGCUCGAGCUCUGUGAGGGGAGGGUUAUGUCGCGGGUUGAAAUUUUGCAGGGUUGUUGAAAUCAAAUUUAGGGACUUUACUGACGGGACUCUGGGCUGGCUGCUCUGUUCACUCGUCAGCGCAAGUGGCGUGACCAUGUAAUUGGGGCACGGGGCCGGCGCGGCGCGCUGCGGGCUUGCAGAAUUUUGUUUGUUUGUUUGGCCGCGCGCUGGCGCAGCCACGGGCCGCAGUUACUGGGGCGCGCUUUCGUAACAAGCCGCGCGGUGUGGCCUGCACAUUGGGGUAGAGGGGGGGUAGUCUUCCCAGAUGUUCUAGUUAGUUGUUUAGUAAAUUUGACUUCAAUAACGAGCUUUUGUUAUGGUAGGCGCGGCAGGGCGCGCGAAUUUAAGCGCAAGUGAGUGGUGACUCGGGGCUCACUCAGGCGGAGGCUAUGCGUCUCACCUGUGGUCACGAGUUGUUAGUUCGUUCGUGAUGUAGGAAUUCAGGCUCACUCAGGCGGAGGCUAUGCGUCUCACCUGUGGUCACGAGUUGUUAGUUCGUUCGUGAUGUAGGAAUUCAAGCUUUCGGGCGGAAGCUAUGGUCGACGCCAGAGGCCACGAGUCGUUUAAUUUAAGUUAGGUCAUAAUGUAGUCGUCAAGCUUUCGGGCGGAGGCUAUGGCCCUCGUCAGGGGUCACGCGUCAUAGUUUUUAAAAUGUAAUGUUCGUUCGGGAUUUCAAGGGCAGGAGAGGCCCCUACGUUAUUUUUUUAAAGUAAUCGAUCAAGAAAGGCUUUUCGGAAAAUGUGAGUAUGGACUUAUCUUUGUUUUAAUUUUAAGUAUUAAUUAUGAUUUGAGGUAUUCGGAAGGACUAGGGAAGUGUUUAGUGAAGUUCUCUCAUUCUCUCUCUUGUAAGGUCGUUCAAUCGUUAAGGAAGUAAAGAGAUUAUUGUUUUAAAUUG